CCCGAAGAUGUGUCAGAAAUUUGUCAGAAGACGAAUAUAACCAGAGCUGUCGCUUGCGGAGGGGUUGACUCAGUCACAAAGUCAGAAUUGGAUUGCUGAAGCUGGUCCUCUUAAGGCACUUCUUCAGGCUUUAUCUUGCAAGCAUGGAGGCACUGAGAACCUGGCAGCAAAAGGAGAUCACUCAGGCCUUGGCAAAUUCCAGCAUGUGUUCCACUUGGGACUUUGUGACAACAGGGAGAAAAGCAGCUUAGAAACAUCUGAUUGCACUCUGCAGCAUUAACUUCUGUCACUGCACCAGCAGAUUAGACACUGUGAAAGCUACACACCCAAGUGUGUGUCCAAUACUGGGAGGUGACGUGAAGCUGGCUGUCCAGACCAAAGAUCUUUGUGAGUUACCUUCAUAGAAACCCCAGGCUUUCCAGGAGCUGACAUUGGCUGAACUCUUCAAUGUAUUUUUUGCCUGAGCCCAUUCCCAGAACUCAGAGGCUGAAGGCUGUUGGGAUGAGGCAGCUGACAGGCUGAGGUGGAGUUGUUCAGCCUUCUUCCUCCCACAAACACUAAGUUACUUAUUUCUGUCAGGAGGACACUCGAGAUUCCCUGUUCUGUAAUGAAAACUCCUUCUUUUCCAGACACUUUUAAUAAAAUUUUGACUAUUUACUGUUAGUGC